rnacentral:rRNA from 1 species
UACGAAGGGGGCUAGCGUUGUUCGGAAUCACUGGGCGUAAAGCGCACGCAGGCGGAUCGUUAAGUCAGGGGUGAAAUCCCGAGGCUCAACCUCGGAACUGCCUCUGAUACUGGCGAUCUUCGAGUCCGGGAGAGGUGAGUGGAACUCCGAGUGUAGAGGUGAAAUUCGUAGAUAUUCGGAAGAACACCAGUGGCGAAGGCGACUUACUGGACACAUAUUGACGCUGAGGUGCGAAAGCGUGGGGAGCAAACAGG